UACGUAGGGUCCAAACGUUGUUCGGUGUCACUGGGCUUAAAGGGCGCGUAGGCGGCUUGUUAAGUGAGAUGUGAAAUCCCGCGGCUCACCCGCGGAAGUGCAUUUCAUACUGGCAGGCUCGAGGAAUGCAGAGGUAAUGGGAAUUCUUGGUGUAGCGGUGACAUGCUCAGAGAUCAAGGAGAAGACCGGUGGCGAAGGCGCAUUACUGGGCAUUUCCUGACGCUGAGGCGCGAGAGCGUGGGGAG
rnacentral:rRNA from 1 species